rfam:Schistosoma mansoni strain Puerto Rico chromosome W, complete genome
GCACUGCUGAUGAGUCCCAUAAUAGGACGAAACAACUGUCUAGUGC